rnacentral:rRNA from 1 species
UACGAGAGGCCCAAACGUUAUUCGGAAUUACUGGGCUUAAAGAGUUCGUAGGCGGCGCAGAAAGUAGGGUGUGAAAGCCCUCGGCUCAACCGAGGAAUUGCGCUCUAAACUACUGUGCUUGAGGAAUCUAGAGGUGAGCGGAACUGAUGGUGGAGCGGUGAAAUGCGUUGAUAUCAUCAGGAACACCGGAGGCGAAGGCGGCUCACUGGGGAUUUUCUGACGCUGAGGAACGAAAGCGUGGGGAGCGAUCCGG